UAUCUAAUCCGGUUUGCUCCCCCAGCUUUCAUCCCUACCGUCGAGCGCGUUCUGGCGAGACGCCUUCGCCACUGGUGGUCCUCACGGAUCAGAGGAUUUUACCCCUACCCGUGGAAUACCCCUCGCCUCUCCCGCCUCCUAGUAUAGCAGUAUCCUCCGCAGCCCGCCUGUUGAGCAGGUGGAUUUAACGGAGGACUUACUAUACCGGCUACGGAUGCUUUAGGCCCAAUAAUCAUCCCGACCACUCGGGGUGCUGGUAUUGCCGCGGCGGCUGACACCAGGCUUGCCCACCCCUUAUUCACCAGCCUGUUUAGAGCUGGCAAAAGACUCCUUUAGCAGGAGCCACUCGGACUGACCCCGUCGGGCUUUCGCCCAUUGCGGAGGUUUCGCGCCUGCUGCGCCCCAUAGGACCUGGGCCCUUGUCUCAGUGCCCAUCUCCGGGCUCCUCCUCUCAGAGCCCGUACCGGUUAUAGGCUUGGUGGGCCAUUACCCCACCAACAACCUGAUCGGACGCAGUCCCAUCCUAAGGCCAUAUAGAUUUGAGCCAUAAUCCAUUCCAGAAACUAUGACCUAUCGAGGUUUAUCUCCAGUUUCCCGGAGUUAUCCUCGUCCUCAGGGUAGGUUGACUACGUGUUACUGAGCCAUGCGCCACCCUUUCGGGUUGACUCGCAUGGCUUAGUCCCAAUCCGAUAGCAGUCGGGUCCGGCGGGAUCAACCGGAA
rnacentral:rRNA from 1 species